rnacentral:lncRNA from 1 species
UGGCGAGUAAUACGUGCUCGGAAAUAGUAUUUUAUCGAAUCACGUUUUGAGGAUGGCAUAAUAGCGAAACCCAGUUUUGAACGUAGCCAAAUAUCCAUUUUCUCGAGCCCCAAUAUCACAUUCCAGGCGACAAAAGAACACUUUCUGCAUCUUUCAUGGAAGAUAGCAGCAUGGUCAUGGCAGUAUCACAUUCCAGGCUACAAAAACCCAUUCUGCAUCUUGACCAUUGUAUCCUUCUUCUCAAACACCAUCCAUGCUGCAGUCCAUACACCUCAUUUCUACCUGCCUUUUCUGCUUCGUCCUCCUUGCUCUGCAACAUUCCCC